AACGGAUAUCUCGGCUCUCGCAUCGAUGAAGAACGUAGCGAAAUGCGAUACUUGGUGUGAAUUGCAGAAUCCCGUGAACCAUCGAGUCUUUGAACGCAAGUUGCGCCCAAAGCCAUUAGGCCGAGGGCACGUCUGCCUGGGCGUCACACG
rnacentral:rRNA from 1 species